UGGGGGAUAUUGCACAAUGGAGGAAACUCUGAUGCAGCGACGCCGCGUGAGUGAAGAAGUAUUUCGGUAUGUAAAGCUCUAUCAGCAGGGAAGAUAAUGACAGUACCUGACUAAGAAGCCCCGGCUAACUACGUGCCAGCAGCCGCGGUAAUACGUAGGGGGCAAGCGUUAUCCGGAUUUACUGGGUGUAAAGGGAGCGUAGACGGAACGGCAAGUUUGAAGUGAAAUACCCGGGCUUAACCCGGGAACUGCUUUCUAAACUGAUAGACCAGAGUAUUGCAGGGGGAGACGGAAUUCCAGGUGUAGCGGUGGAAUGCGUAGAUAUCUGGAAGAACACCAAAGGCGAAGGCAGUCUCCUGGGCAAAUACUGACGCUCAUAUGCGAAAGCGUGGGUAGCAAACAGGAUUAGAUACCCUGGUAGU
rnacentral:rRNA from 1 species